rnacentral:rRNA from 1 species
AUUGAACGCUGGCGGCAGGCCUAACACAUGCAAGUCGAGCGAGCGGAGGACGGGUGAGUAAUGGAUGGGGACUGCCUGACAGACGGGGCUAACUACUGGAAACGGUGGAUAAUCCCGCAUACUAUCGGAUGACCCUUAUGGGAUUAGCUAGUAGGUGGGGUAAAGGCUCACCUAGGCGACGAUGCCUAGCUGGUCUGAGAGGAUGAUCAGCCACACUGGGACUGCGACACGGCCCAGACUCCUACGGAGGCAGCAGUUGGGAAUAUUGCGCAAUGGGCGAAAGCCUGAUGCAGCCAUGCCGCGUGUAUGAAGAAGGCCUUAGGGUUGUAAAGUACUUUCAUCGGGGAGGCGGUAUCUGAAGAAGAAGCACCGGCUAACUCCGUGCCAGCAGCCGCGGUAAUAC